ACGGGUGAGUAAUACAUCGGAACGUAUCCUGGAGUGGGGGAUAGCCCGGCGAAAGCCGGAUUAAUACCGCAUACGCUCUGAGGAGGAAAGCGGGGGACCUUCGGGCCUCGCGCUCAAGGGGCGGCCGAUGGCGGAUUAGGUAGUUGGUGGGGUAAAGGCCUACCAAGCCGACGAUCCGUAGCUGGUCUGAGAGGACGACCAGCCACACUGGGACUGAGACACGGCCCAGACUCCUACGGGAGGCAGCAGUGGGGAAUUUUGGACAAUGGGGGCAACCCUGAUCCAGCAAUGCCGCGUGUGUGAAGAAGGCCUUCGGGUUGUAAAGCACUUUUGUCCGGAAAGAAAUCAUCGGGGCCAAUACCCCUGGUGGAUGACGGUACCGGAAGAAUAAGCGCCGGCUAACUACGUGCCAGCAGCCGCGGUAAUACGUAGGGUGCGAGCGUUAAUCGGAAUUACUGGGCGUAAAGCGUGCGCAGGCGGUGCUGUAAGACCGAUGUGAAAUCCCCGGGCUUAACCUGGGAACUGCAUUGGUGACUGCAGCGCUGGAGUAUGGCAGAGGGGGGUGGAAUUCCACGU
rnacentral:rRNA from 1 species